rnacentral:rRNA from 1 species
AAGCGACGCAGGCGGUUGAUUGAGUCAGAUGUUGAAUCCCCCCGCUUACUCCGGGAAUUGCAUCUGAGACUGGUUGGCUUGAGUCUUGUAGAGGGGGGUAGAAUUCCAUGAGUAGCGGUGAAAUGCGUAGAGAUGUGGAGGAUACCGGUGGCGAAGGCGGCCCCCUGGACAAAGACUGACGCUCAGGUGCGAAAGCGUGGGGAGCAAACAGGAUUAGAAACCCUAGUAGUCACCGCUGUACCGAUGUCGACUUAGAGGUUGUGCCCUUGAG